CCUACGGGGGGCUGCAGUCGAGAAUCAUUCACAAUGGGGGAAACCCUGAUGGGGCGACGCCGCGUGGGGGAAUGAAGGUCUGCGGAUUGUAAACCCCUGUCAUGUGGGAGCAAAUUAAAAAGAUAGUACCACAAGAGGAAGAGACGGCUAACUCUGUGCCAGCAGCCGCGGUAAUACAGAGGUCUCAAGCGUUGUUCGGAAUCACUGGGCGUAAAGCGUGCGUAGGCUGUUUCGUAAGUCGUGUGUGAAAGGCGCGGGCUCAACCCGCGGACGGCACAUGAUACUGCGAGACUAGAGUAAUGGAGGGGGAACCGGAAUUCUCGGUGUAGCAGUGAAAUGCGUAGAUAUCGAGAGGAACACUCGUGGCGAAGGCGGGUUCCUGGACAUUAACUGACGCUGAGGCACGAAGGCCAGGGGAGCGAAAAGGAUUAGAUACCCCGGUAGUC
rnacentral:rRNA from 1 species